UGUUUCCUGUGUGUGUUGUUAGAAGUCAAACUGUAACUUUAGGAAAAUAUAUGCCAAAAGCACAUUUACAAUUACUUAAGACCGUUUUUAAUUUCUUUUCUUUAGACCAAAUCCCCUGAACACAUAUACGGACUCAGAGGAUGAGCACCGUACUCGAGCCCCUCGAGUGAAAAUACCAGCUCUCGCCACUCCGCAGUCUGCCCCCCAGCCCACUGAUAGCAACCAUCAUAAUGCCCCACCCAGCUUCCAACACACAAACCAACACAGCUUUGCGAUCUCCCCAGAGAUUUGUGUGUGUGUGUGUCUAUUUUUGUCCUAGAUGGCUUGACGCAGCAACCAUGGAGCCCCCAUAUCCAGCUACCAUAGGAUUUCGUCAAGCUGGAGUGGGAUUGAGACAGCAAAUGAAAUGAAACGUCUCUACAAUUCAUCAUCAUUAUCUGCCUUUCUGCACCUGUGAAUGUGUCCUAUUAACUGUGAAAUCUUUUUGUCCUUUCCUUUGCAUCACCUUUUCUCAUUUGUAAAAACAGUUGUACUUUCGAUUCAGCAAGUUUUUAUAGAUAUUUCUUUGAAUACAUAAUUUGAUGGCAUGUAAUUUACUGAUAAGCUUAAUUGUUAAAAAACUCCAAGUUAUGGAUGUCUUCAGUAUCUGUUUUUAAUCAAGACUCGGCUGAUUUAUUAAAAGUUGUGACUUCAAGGGUUUCAAAUUGUCUGACAACUUAUAACAACAUAACUUUUCACUUUGUUGCCAGAUUCAUUUAAUAAACAUAAUUUCACUU